rnacentral:rRNA from 1 species
AUUGAACGCUGGCGGCAGGCCUAACACAUGCAAGUCGAGCGGAGAGGCGGCCGGGUAAGUAAUGGCUAGGAAUCUGACUGGUAGAGGGGGAUAACGUGCGGUAACGGGAGAUAAUACCGCAUACUCUCAGAUGAGGCUCGUCCGGAUUAGCGAGUUGGUGGGGGAAAGGCAUACCAAGGCAACGACCCGUAACUGGUCUGAGAGGAUGAUCAGUCACACUGGAACUUAGACACGGUCCAGACUCCUACGGGAGGCAGCAGUGGGGAAUUUUGGACAAUGGGCGAAAGCCUGAUCCAGCCAUGCCGCGUGUGUGAAGAAGGUCUUCGGAUUGUAAAGCACUUUAAUUUGGGAGGCGUUACCAACAGAAUAAGCACCGGCUAACUUCGUGCCAGCAGCCGCGGUAAUAC